UACGGAGGGUGCAAGCGUUAAUCGGAAUCACUGGGCGUAAAGCGCACGUAGGCGGCCCGUUAAGUCAGAUGUGAAACCCCUGGGCUCAACCUGGGAAUGGCAUUUGAUACUAGCGGGCUCGAGUCUGAUAGAGGGGGGUGGAAUUCCAGGUGUAGCGGUGAAAUGCGUAGAUAUCUGGAGGAACACCGGUGGCGAAGGCGGCCCCCUGGAUCAUGACUGACGCUGAGGUGCGAAAGCGUGGGUAGCAAACAGG
rnacentral:rRNA from 1 species